GACGAACUCUGGCGGCGUGCUUAACACAUGCAAGUCGAACGGUAAGGCUCCAGCUUGCUGGGGUACACGAGUGGCGAACGGGUGAGUAACACGUGGGUGACCUGCCCAGCACUUCGGGAUAAGCCUGGGAAACUGGGUCUAAUACCGGAUAGGACCGCACCGUGAGGGUGUGGUGGAAAGUUUUUUCGGUGUGGGAUGGGCCCGCGGCCUAUCAGCUUGUUGGUGGGGUAAUGGCCUACCAAGGCGGCGACGGGUAGCCGGCCUGAGAGGGUGGACGGCCACAUUGGGACUGAGACACGGCCCAGACUCCUACGGGAGGCAGCAGUGGGGAAUAUUGCACAAUGGGCGGAAGCCUGAUGCAGCGACGCCGCGUGGGGGAUGACGGCCUUCGGGUUGUAAACUCCUUUCACCAUCGACGAAGGGUUUCUGACGGUAGAUGGAGAAGAAGCACCGGCUAACUACGUGCCAGCAGCCGCGGUAAUACGUAGGGUGCGAGCGUUGUCCGGAAUUACUGGGCGUAAAGAGCUCGUAGGUGGUUUGUCGCGUCGUCUGUGAAAUUCCGGGGCUUAACUCCGGGCGUGCAGGCGAUACGGGCAUAACUUGAGUACUGUAGGGGAGACUGGAAUUCCUGGUGUAGCGGUGAAAUGCGCAGAUAUCAGGAGGAACACCGGUGGCGAAGGCGGGUCUCUGGGCAGUAACUGACGCUGAGGAGCGAAAGCAUGGGGAGCGAACAGGAUUAGAUACCCUGGUAGUCCAUGCCGUAAACGGUGGGCGCUAGGUGUGGGUUUCCUUCCACGGGAUCCGUGCCGUAGCUAACGCAUUAAGCGCCCCGCCUGGGGAGUACGGCCGCAAGGCUAAAACUCAAAGGAAUUGACGGGGGCCCGCACAAGCGGCGGAGCAUGUGGAUUAAUUCGAUGCAACGCGAAGAACCUUACCUGGGCUUGACAUAUACAGGAUCGCGCCAGAGAUGGUGUUUCCCUUGUGGCUUGUAUACAGGUGGUGCAUGGUUGUCGUCAGCUCGUGUCGUGAGAUGUUGGGUUAAGUCCCGCAACGAGCGCAACCCUUGUCUUAUGUUGCCAGCACGUUGUGGUGGGGACUCGUAAGAAACUGCCGGGGUUAACUCGGAGGAAGGUGGGGAUGACGUCAAAUCAUCAUGCCCCUUAUGUCCAGGGCUUCACACAUGCUACAAUGGUCGGUACAGUGGGUUGCCAGUCCGUGAGGGCGAGCUAAUCCCGCAAAGCCGGUCUCAGUUCGGAUCGGGGUCUGCAACUCGACCCCGUGAAGUCGGAGUCGCUAGUAAUCGCAGAUCAGCAACGCUGCGGUGAAUACGUUCCCGGGCCU
rnacentral:rRNA from 1 species